UACGUAGGGGGCAAGCGUUGUCCGGAAUCAUUGGGCGUAAAGAGCGUGUAGGCGGCCCGAUAAGUCCGCUGUGAAAGUCCAGGGCUCAACCCUGGAAUGCCGGUGGAUACUGUCGGGCUCGAAUCCGGAAGAGGUGAGUGGAAUUCCUGGUGUAGCGGUGAAAUGCGCAGAUAUCAGGAGGAACACCAAUGGCGAAGGCAGCUCACUGGGACCGGUAUGACGCUGAGACGACGAAGCGUGGGGAGCAAACAGG
rnacentral:rRNA from 1 species